UUGAGCCUUGAUGUGUAGGAUAGGUGGGAGGCUUUGAAGCGUGGACGCCAGUCUGCGUGGAGCCAACCUUGAAAUACCACCCUUUAAUGUUUGAUGUUCUAACGUUGGCCCCUUACCGGGGUUGCGGACAGUGUCUGGUGGGUAGUUUGACUGGGGCGGUCUCCUCCCAAAGCGUAACGGAGGAGCACGAAGGUUAGCUAAUCCUGGUCGGACAUCAGGAGGUUAGUGCAAUGGCAUAAGCUAGCUUGACUGCGAGCGUGACGGCG
rnacentral:rRNA from 1 species